rnacentral:piRNA from 1 species
UGUGAUAAAUUAUUACUUGUUCGG